GACCCUGUUGAGCUUGACUCUAGUUUGACAUUGUGAAAAGACAUAGGGGGUGUAGAAUAGGUGGGAGCUUCGGCGCCGGUGAAAUACCACUACCCUUAUCGUUUUUUUACUUAAUCAAUGAAGCGGAACUGGUCUUCAUCGACCAUUUUCUUGCAUUAAAGUCCUUCGCGGGCUGAUCCGGGUUGAUGACAUUGUCAGGUGGGGAGUUUGGCUGGGGCGGC
rnacentral:rRNA from 1 species